rnacentral:rRNA from 1 species
GAUGAACGCUGGCGGCGUGCCUAACACAUGCAAGUCGAGCGAUUCUCUUCGGAGAAGAGCGGCGGACGGGUGAGUAACGCGUGGGUAACCUGCCCUGUACACACGGAUAACAUACCGAAAGGUAUGCUAAUACGAGAUAAUAUGCUUUUAUCGCAUGGUAGAAGUAUCAAAGCUCCGGCGGUACAGGAUGGACCCGCGUCUGAUUAGCUAGUUGGUAAGGUAACGGCUUACCAAGGCUACGAUCAGUAGCCGACCUGAGAGGGUGAUCGGCCACAUUGGAACUGAGACACGGUCCAAACUCCUACGGGAGGCAGCAGUGGGGAAUAUUGCACAAUGGGCGAAAGCCUGAUGCAGCAACGCCGCGUGAGCGAUGAAGGCCUUCGGGUCGUAAAGCUCUGUCCUCAAGGAAGAUAAUGACGGUACUUGAGGAGGGAGCCCCGGCUAACUACGUGCCAGCCGCCGCGGUAACAC